AAAAUAAGGACAAAUAAAUUUUAAUUUUAAAAUUAUAGCAAACAUGAAUCAUAUCAGAUUCAAUUGAAUUUUUUAAUUUAAAUUAUGUCAUAUCAUAUAAUGGAAUUCAUUUCAAAUGUAUUCGAUCUUGAUCAUACUUCCAUUCCACCAGAUUUAGCACAUUCAUUCUGUUGUAUUUUCAUUUUGUCACACUAGAUUCAGUCCUUUUAAACGAAACUUGUCAUAGAAGAAUAAGCAACAGAGAUUUACCAAAAAAAUAGAUUAUUCAUGAAUCAUGAUAU
rnacentral:misc_RNA from 1 species